rnacentral:rRNA from 1 species
GAAUGCUGACAUAAGUAACGAUAAAGCGGGUGAAAAGCCCGCUCGCCGGAAGACCAAGGGUUCCUGUCCAACGUUAAUCGGGGCAGGGUGAGUCGACCCCUAAGGCGAGGCCGAAAGGCGUAGUCGAUGGGAAACGGGUUAAUAUUCCCGUACUUGGUGUUACUGCGAAGGGGGGACGGAGAAGGCUAUGUUGGCCGGGCGACGGUUGUCCCGGUUUAAGCGUGUAGGUGUGUGUUCCAGGUAAAUCCGGUUCACUUUAACACUGAGGCGUGACGACGAGGCACUACGGUGCUGAAGCAACAAAUGCCCUGCUUCCAGGAAAAGCCUCUAAGCAUCAGGUAACAUCAAAUCGUACCCCAAACCGACACAGGUGGUCAGGUAGAGAAUACCAAGGCGCUUGAGAGAACUCGGGUGAAGGAACUAGGCAAAAUGGUGCCGUAACUUCGGGAGAAGGCACGCUGACACGUAGGUGAAGUGAUUUACUCAUGGAGCUGAAGUCAGUCGAAGAUACCAGCUGGCUGCAACUGUUUAUUAAAAACACAGCACUGUGCAAACACGAAAGUGGACGUAUACGGUGUGACGCCUGCCCGGUGCCGGAAGGUUAAUUGAUGGGGUCAGCGCAAGCGAAGCUCCUGAUCGAAGCCCCGGUAAACGGCGGCCGUAACUAUAACGGUCCUAAGGUAGCGAAAUUCCUUGUCGGGUAAGUUCCGACCUGCACGAAUGGCGUAAUGAUGGCCAGGCUGUCUCCACCCGAGACUCAGUGAAAUUGAACUCGCUGUGAAGAUGCAGUGUACCCGCGGCAAGACGGAAAGACCCCGUGAACCUUUACUAUAGCUUGACACUGAACAUUGAGCCUUGAUGUGUAGGAUAGGUGGGAGGCUUUGAAGUGUGGACGCCAGUCUGCAUGGAGCCGACCUUGAAAUACCACCCUUUAAUGUUUGAUGUUCUAACGUGGACCCGUUACCCGGGUUGCGGACAGUGUCUGGUGGGUAGUUUGACUGGGGCGGUCUCCUCCUAAAGAGUAACGGAGGAGCACGAAGGUUGGCUAAUCCUGGUCGGACAUCAGGAG